ACACACCAGGGCUCUGCAUGCCUUCUUACAACAAACUGCGUGGUGGGCGCACCAGCCUUCCCCAUCUGACUCUGUGUGCUGCCCACCUGGUGGUUGUGCUGGAGGUUUUGAAGAGUGAGACUUUGGCCCCAGGUCUCCUGCCUGAGAGCUGCGUAAACCUAGAGCCUUGUCUCACAGAGCCCCUGUUCCCACAGCAUUAAAGUGGAGAUGACAGAGUCCCUCCUGGAGAGCCGGUCUAGCCAUUCAGUGAGUCAGCAGCACAGCUCCUCCAGCACGCAGAGAACAGCGGUCCAUGGAGGGAGGGCGUGAGCCUGGGGUUUUACUGAGGAAGGAUAGUGGGUUUUUCAGUCCCUGAAGCUGCUGCUCUGCCCACUCAGGAAGGUGAGGAAGGCAGACGACAGCGUACAUCCAGCCUCUGCUCUGCCAGGGUCGUUGAUGCCCUUUGGAAUGGAGAGCUGUGAAGGGGAAUGCCUAGGCCUCACAGAGGAGGCUCGUGACCCGGACAGGUGUGGGACUAGGGGCCAUGUCUGUAGCUCCCCUGCCACGGAGCAGAAUCUGCCUCUCCAUAAGCGUUAAGCUCUGGGGACUGUGACAUCCACGCUGGGCCUGGCUCCUGCCUUCCGCCUCCUGCCCAGCCCCUGCCAGCAGCACAUGGUGGAGACCGGUUGCCCAAAGCUCUUGUUCUCAGAUGUGGGCAGAACGGGAAUCUGCCAUGUGCCCGUGGAUUAAAAAAAAGAAACCCAGGCUGCUUUUCUGUCUGUUAGAAGGAGCCUGCACUUCAAGAUAGUGGGGAUGUAUAUUUUAAAAAAUUUCACGCUCAUGGGCCAAAGAUUUUCCCGGGGCUGUGUGCUGAUUUGCAGCCUAUCAUGUGUGGCUUUGGGACACUGGGGAAGGUGUGGAGCAGUUUAAGUGACAAACGGGUUGGAAAAGCAAAGGACACCAGGUGAGGAUGAUGGAAUUUACAUCCUGUUGCUUCCCUGAUAGUUCCUGCCAAUAUGGGAUCCCACUACUAUCUUUCUGCCCUAAAAAUAUGUGUAUAUUGAGAUAGAAACUGUUGUAAUGGCUGCAUGCAUUCAGUAGAGGAAAGGAGAGAAGAAAGAAGGAACAGAUUUAGUCCUGCCCAGAAUCUGCACUUCCACGGAGGACGCCAGGAUAUCACGGGAGAGACUGCAGCUCUGAUCAAAUGGGGCGAGCUCUUGGCAGGAGCCAGCAUGUUCCUGUGUUCCAUUUGGGAGGACAGUUUACUUUAAUGAUGUACUUUGAAAUCAGGUGGACGUCUGUAACUCCUGGACCUUUCGCAGCCUUUCCAGCCACGGUCAUCUCUGUGGAGUCAGGGGCAGGGACUUUGGGAUCAGCUUCUGCCCUUGUGAAAACAGCAGAGCAGCCUGAGAGCCAGGAAGGACCUCACCUGAGUAUCAGAUCACCUCAUCAGGCUGAAUUGUGUGGAUCUAGGGAUUUUAAAGAGGUGAUUAAGGUAAAAUGAGGUUAUUAGGGUGGCCCUUGACCCAGUGUGACUGGUAUCCUCAUAAGAGGAGAUUAGGACACAGCCACACAGAGGGACGACCACCUGAGGAUCCCUGAGAAGAUGGCAUCUGGAAGGUGAGGAGAGAGGCCUCAGAAGGAAUCAACUCUGCUGAUACUUGAUGCCAACUUCCAGCCUCUGAAACUGCGAGCAAGGUGGUUUGUUAUUCAGCAAUGGAUAAUUAGAGCACUGACUCACCUUGAUGGGCCUCAUCAUCAUUCAUCCAGAAAUCUUUUAUUGAGAAAAAUAAUAUUUGCCAUGUUGUGCAAGGAGUUGGGGUUGCAAAGCUGGGUGCUGUGAUCUAUAACACAAGGCAGCAGGAUUGUCUGACCUCCGAGAGCCAUGUGCCCUGGGAUCAUCUGGCCACAGUUAUCUCACAGAAUUCCUAAUGCACAGUCUGUGUGGGAGGUGAUGCCGGAGUCCCCCCUCCCUCUGGGCUCCUCCCCGUGCUCUGCUCACAUCACUGGGGGGUUGGCGGCAGCCUGCUGAGUCCUUUCGACCCUCAGCCCGCUCUCCAGCACUCAGACUGGCCGAAACCUGUGCCGCUGGCUCCACCCUCAGGUCUCCCCACUCCUCUCAUUAGCCACCGGCCUUCUCAGCCUUCUCUUAUUCUUGUGACUCUUGCCUGACCCUGCCUCAGCUCUGUGUCCUCCCAGACUGCUGACUGUGAGGCUUUGCCCAGCGGAUUUUCCAUCGCCAAAUUAGAGCUUUUCUUUCCUCGCCUGACUGCUCCCUGUCACUGUCUUCUGUAUCUUCCUGUUCCUGAUUUUGGCUGGCUAUCAAGAGAAGAAGAUCUACAAUCAUCCUAUCUCUCAUGGCACCUUACCAUGUGCAACUCCCUCGUAUCUAAUACCUCACUUCACCUUUUCUGUUCUUCUAUUUAUGAGCUACGUGAUGUCAGACAAGGCACUUAACUACUCUGGGCUUUGGCUCCCUUAUUUAACGAUAGGUAUCAUAAUAAUACCUGUCCUGUCCAAUUUACAGUUUGUCUGACAGUUAUUCAUUUAACAAACAUGCAUUGGGUUCCUACUGAGUGCUGGGUGAUGUAUCCAGCAUUGCUAAGACAACGGCCGUGAGAACAGCAAGCAUGCCUGGGUUUUGCAUUCUAGUGGGACGUCUUAAUCUAUUUUCUGCUAAAACAUAAUACCACAAACUAGGCAGUUGAUGAAGAAGAUACAUUUACUUCUUGCAGUUGAAGAGGCUGGGAAGUCCAAGGGCAUGGCACUGGCAUCUGGGUCAUCCCAUGGUGGAAGGUGGAAGGUGGAAGGGCAGGGACUAAGAAGAGCACCAGGUGCCAGACUCACUUUGUAACAACCCACUGUCAUAAUAACUAACCUGACCUCACAACCCAGUCACCUCCCAACAAAGUUGCAUUGGGAUUGAAUUUAUAACACAAGAACUUUUGGGGGGCAAAUUCAAGCCAGGCAUGGGGGUUAGUGUAAAUAAAUGAAUAG
ensembl:lncRNA novel transcript